UUAUUACAAUGAAGAGUUUGAUCCUGGCUCAGGAUGAACGCUAGCUACAGGCUUAACACAUGCAAGUCGAGGGGCAGCAUGGUCUUAGCUUGCUAAGGCCGAUGGCGACCGGCGCACGGGUGAGUAACACGUAUCCAACCUGCCGUCUACUCUUGGACAGCCUUCUGAAAGGAAGAUUAAUACAAGAUGGCAUCAUGAGUCCGCAUGUUCACAUGAUUAAAGGUAUUCCGGUAGACGAUGGGGAUGCGUUCCAUUAGAUAGUAGGCGGGGUAACGGCCCACCUAGUCUUCGAUGGAUAGGGGUUCUGAGAGGAAGGUCCCCCACAUUGGAACUGAGACACGGUCCAAACUCCUACGGGAGGCAGCAGUGAGGAAUAUUGGUCAAUGGGCGAGAGCCUGAACCAGCCAAGUAGCGUGAAGGAUGACUGCCCUAUGGGUUGUAAACUUCUUUUAUAAAGGAAUAAAGUCGGGUAUGGAUACCCGUUUGCAUGUACUUUAUGAAUAAGGAUCGGCUAACUCCGUGCCAGCAGCCGCGGUAAUACGGAGGAUCCGAGCGUUAUCCGGAUUUAUUGGGUUUAAAGGGAGCGUAGAUGGAUGUUUAAGUCAGUUGUGAAAGUUUGCGGCUCAACCGUAAAAUUGCAGUUGAUACUGGAUAUCUUGAGUGCAGUUGAGGCAGGCGGAAUUCGUGGUGUAGCGGUGAAAUGCUUAGAUAUCACGAAGAACUCCGAUUGCGAAGGCAGCCUGCUAAGCUGCAACUGACAUUGAGGCUCGAAAGUGUGGGUAUCAAACAGGAUUAGAUACCCUGGUAGUCCACACGGUAAACGAUGAAUACUCGCUGUUUGCGAUAUACUGCAAGCGGCCAAGCGAAAGCGUUAAGUAUUCCACCUGGGGAGUACGCCGGCAACGGUGAAACUCAAAGGAAUUGACGGGGGCCCGCACAAGCGGAGGAACAUGUGGUUUAAUUCGAUGAUACGCGAGGAACCUUACCCGGGCUUAAAUUGCAGAUGAAUUACGGUGAAAGCCGUAAGCCGCAAGGCAUCUGUGAAGGUGCUGCAUGGUUGUCGUCAGCUCGUGCCGUGAGGUGUCGGCUUAAGUGCCAUAACGAGCGCAACCCUUGUUGUCAGUUACUAACAGGUUCCGCUGAGGACUCUGACAAGACUGCCAUCGUAAGAUGUGAGGAAGGUGGGGAUGACGUCAAAUCAGCACGGCCCUUACGUCCGGGGCUACACACGUGUUACAAUGGGGGGUACAGAGGGCCGCUACCACGCGAGUGGAUGCCAAUCCCCAAAACCUCUCUCAGUUCGGACUGGAGUCUGCAACCCGACUCCACGAAGCUGGAUUCGCUAGUAAUCGCGCAUCAGCCACGGCGCGGUGAAUACGUUCCCGGGCCUUGUACACACCGCCCGUCAAGCCAUGGGAGCCGGGGUACCUGAAGUGCGUAACCGCGAGGAGCGCCCUAGGGUAAAACUGGUGACUGGGGCUAAGUCGUAACAAGGUAGCCGUACCGGAAGGUGCGGCUGGAACAC
rnacentral:rRNA from 2 species